GACGAACGCUGGCGGCGUGCUUAACACAUGCAAGUCGAACGGAAAGGCCCCCUUGUGGGGUACUCGAGUGGCGAACGGGUGAGUAACACGUGAGUAACCUACCCUUGACUUUGGGAUAACUUCAGGAAACUGGGGCUAAUACCGGAUAGGAGCUCCUGCUGCAUGGUGGGGGUUGGAAAGUUUCGGCGGUUGGGGAUGGACUCGCGGCUUAUCAGCUUGUUGGUGGGGUAGUGGCUCACCAAGGCUUUGACGGGUAGCCGGCCUGAGAGGGUGACCGGCCACAUUGGGACUGAGAUACGGCCCAGACUCCUACGGGAGGCAGCAGUGGGGAAUAUUGCACAAUGGGCGGAAGCCUGACGCAGCAACGCCGCGUGCGGGAUGGCGGCCUUCGGGUUGUAAACCGCUUUCGCCUGUGACGAAGCGUGAGUGACGGUAAUGGGUAAAGAAGCACCGGCUAACUACGUG
rnacentral:rRNA from 1 species